AGCAUGGCCAGGGUGGUGUGGGUCCUUGUUGAUGCUGGCUGCAUUGUUGAGGCAGCGCACCCUAUAGAUCCCUUUGAUGGUUGGGAAGUCAGUACCCGUGGCGAAUUGAGCAAAG